UACGUAGGGUGCAAGCGUUAAUCGGAAUUACUGGGCGUAAAGCGUGCGCAGGCGGUGAUGUAAGACAGGUGUGAAAUCCCCGGGCUUAACCUGGGAACUGCAUUUGGGACUGCAAGGCUCGAGUGCGGCAGAGGAGACUGGAAUUCCUGGUGUAGCAGUGAAAUGCGUAGAUAUCAGGAGGAACACCGAUGCGAAGGCAGGUCUCUGGGCUGACACUGACGCUCAUGCACG
rnacentral:rRNA from 1 species